AUGAACUAUCCUUCUAUUUGUGAUGCUGACUUCAUCACAGACAAUGGUGCCAAGUACCUGGGUUCCAGACAUGAUGUACCCAUGCCUCAGACACAGAAUAGGAUGAAACUGAUGGCAGACAACUAUGAUGAUGACCAUCACCACUACCAUCACCAUCACCACCAUCAUCACCACAGAUCGCCUGGGAGGACCCAGCACUCCAAUCACCGGCCCUCUCCAGAACAGGUUAGUCCUGUCUUUCCUUUCCUUACUUCCCAGUUACCCUGUUACCAUGCCAGUGUUCAUGAUAAAAUAAAUCUUCAAGGGGAAAAAAUAAACAAUGGUAAUGAUAUGCUCUUUGAACUGAAACUAAGAGUUUUGUUAUUGAGUUCUAUCACUCAAAGAAACUAAAUGUUUUCUUUCCUUUUUCCGUUGGCAUUUCAUUUCUCUUGUUAUGGUUUUCUUUUCUCCUUUUCUUUCAUAGCAUUUCUGAAGGUUUCUAAUUUGACUAUUAAAAAUAAUGUUUCUAAAGAACUGGUUUUUUAAGUACACAUUUUUGUUUAGAUAGCUGUUCUAUUCCAUGUAUAAUUUAUUGUGCUUGUCUUUUAUGAACCCAACCUAGCCACAAGAAUAUAAUCGGGUUGAAUCUGCUCACCAGUAUCAGCAUAACAUUGUUCUUACAAAAGUAAAAUUUUAGAAAUGCUUUGUCCCACAAUAUCUAAUUCUCAAAACAACUGAGCAAAUGUAGUUGCUUCUUGUUUUAUAAAGUAAACCUUGAAACAUAAUCGAAUGCCUAGGGUAUAUUCUGUCAGCACCAAGAAAAACAAGCUAACAUUAUUUGGAUUUACCUCGCAUAAAAGGAAGAGACAAUUAGAGUAAUUGAGCUUAAGGGGAGGAUCCCAGUGUCUUUUCUUAGAUGUCUUUUACUCCAAGAGGAAAGGAGAAUGGUCUUAGCAUCUCUGUGCCAUAUUAUUUUGCAAGGGAAGUGUCACGUAGGUGUCACCUGCAAGAGGAUGGUAGAACUUGGCUUUCAUUUCUAGCGAUGGUAAAGAGUAUUUAAAAGGGAGUGUUUUCUGGACUGAUAAAAGUGGGUGUGUGGGUACAACUGUGGUGGUUUGAUAGAAAUGACCUUUUUUCUUCCUCUUGGCCAAAAUAAACUACAGUAUUUAAUAGUGUGAGCCAAAAUGUUUCCCAACCUCUCCACUCCGUGUUUCUUCCUGGGAGGGGAGCAAUUUGAAGGUUUAAAGUUUUUGAAAAGAACUCUAAUGUCACUUUCAGGACUGACAACGCUUUGAGCCAAGAAGAUCCCAAAUUUACUUUAUGAGUCCUUUAUGAGUGCCGCAUGUAUUAGCUGCAGUUAGUUUCUCUUGGAGGGAGGGGAAGAGUUUGGACUGAUUCAAGGGUAUGAGUGGAUGGAAGAAAUAAUAGUGGGUCAAUAAUACAGGCAUAUGUAGAGAACAAAACUCCAGAACAUGGAAAUGCAAUUAUGGCAUUUGUGUAUUUCAAGACAUUGGGUUAUUCAGAAAGUUUUAAAAGGUGAAUGAAUUAUGUCUGAGAAAAGUAGGUAGUGUAGAUCAAAAACUUGGGAAAAGUUACUUUUCGAAAUUAUGCUUCCCAGAAUCCCUAAGACCAAAAUAAUAUAUAGUCCUUUCUCAGAUUACAUCUCCCAGAAACCAGCAGCCUCCAAGAAUCAUGCUCACCAUGAAAUAAAGAGAGCUAUAAUAAAAAAGUAAAAGGAAGGAAUAUGGCCUAUAGUUCAGAUACACCAAAAAAGCCAGGAAUGGCAAAGCAAGAGAGGUCUUCAAAAUAAACCUCUCUAUUGAGAGUUCCAUGUGGAGCCCAGUUAGCUCUGUUCCUAGAAGAAGAAGAUUUUUCUUUUAACUGAAAGGUCAUUGUCUAUUCUAAUGGCAAUUGACUACUGCAAUAUGUUGGAAAUGGUUGUUCUAACAUAGCUUCUUGACUGAAAUCCUCAGAAGGCAGAAAACAAUGCUGCUUAAACCAGUGGGGGCUAACCCUGGCCAAGCAGGGCUAUUUUAUGCUGGAACAUCCAGACCGUUGCAGACAACAUAGGAGCAAUUCUUUCUCACCUUUCUCCAGAUUCACAGCCUGGAGGGAAGGUUUCACAACAAGGAGCAUAUUUGUCACCUUUUAACAAAGAAAGGGCAUUGUGAUGUGAGGACAGCUAUCUUUUCGUCACAAAGCUUCUCAGAACAGUACUAUGUGAAGUCACAUAAUCUUGGCUUUCUUUGCGGACACAUGAUGAGGCUUUCUUUGGAGCACCACUCAACUGUGGAACUCCUUCUUAUCUCUAUCUCUUCUGAAUUUCUGGGUGGCAGUGAAUACUCUACUGUUUCAUAUGCCCUUUAGCUCUUAAAACUAGAGGUGUCUGUUCUGGAUGUUUUUAAACCAUUCAUCUGGUUUUAUUUUAUAAAGAGGAGUUUCAACUGUUUUUAACUGAUCUGUGGUUGUUUAUUUCAGGUUUUAAAAGUGUUUUUGUGAAUUAUGCAUCAUUUUGAAGCAUUGGUAGGUCAAAAGGUGGUGAAUAAAUGCCUUGCAUAUAAACAAGCAAGCAAGCCAGCCAGCCAGCCAGCCCCAGAGAAUGGUGCUAUCUCAUGAUGUAGUGUUGGUCCCAUUGAGUCCUUCUCAAUGCUACCAAGUCUCUGCCUACAAUUUUUGAAUUGACAACAAAAGCUUGUUUGUAAAAAUAUAUAAAACCCAGUGCUGCCUCCUCGUGUAAUGGAAAAAUCCCCAGAUUCCCAAUUGAUUAGUUCACUCCACCCACUUCCAAAAAUAAGUUACUUGUUAGCCCUUUUUUGUUCUUUGCCUUGCUGCCCCAUAAACCAUAGAGAAGGUAUCUGGUAAAUAUUCUGAUGCACUUCUAGUUUAUGGCUUGUCUUUAGCUGAUUAUUGUGUGUGUGUGUGUGUAUGUGUAUGUGUGUGUGUGUAUAUAUAUAUAUAUAUAGUGAGUUUUUUCUAACACUGUAUUGUUUUUAUGUUACUGAAAUGUAGAUAUCAAAUCCAAAUGUAAGAUUAAAAUACUUGCCUGUGUGCUACCCUUGCACCAGAAAAAUUUCCCCUCUUUUACUGUCUACUUAAUUUCUGGUAGGGGGUAAAGGACUGAGGUGUAAACUUAUAGAAGUUCCUGUCAAAAAAGAACAGGGGAAAUAACUCAAUGACAGAACACAUGCUUUGCUUGCAAAUGUUCCCAGAUCGAGCUUUCCAGUUCUCCACUUAGAAAGAAGCAGGUAUCAUGUGAUGGAAAAGGCCUCUGCCUGAAAUCCUUAGAUUGAAGGCAGCUUCCUAUACUUUUGACUGAAAUGAUUUCUAAAGCUAGACUGCUAAACACUUGCCAGCUCAUUGUCACAAGUCUGAACCAGCCAGAAGUCUAGGUUUUCAAGAAAACCUCAGAAAGUUAGGUUGUGCCAAAUAUGAUCUAAGUUGUGAUUCAAACUGCUGAAUAAAUUACUGCAAAAACAUUUUUACAAAACCAACAUUAUAGACUGCUUGCUGUCUCUUGCUCCACCUUGUCCCACAGCAGUUUCUGUUUCUCAGUGCCAUUUUCUUAAGAAAAUGGCUUCUGUAUCCUCCUUUGUGCUUGUCCUCAUGAUUUUCUAGUCAGAUGCAGUAUGCCACUGUAUAUAUCAGCAGCUGGAGAGUGUAGGGUGGGCAAUGCAGGUGCAGUGGGCCCUUGGUAGCCAUGUGGAUGCUGUCAGCUGUCAGCUGUCAGCUCUAGUUCAUAGUGCAGUUUUCUUGUAUGGUUUUUUUUGUCUUUUGUGCUUUGAGGAGUUUCUGAUUUUUUACUUCAAUCAAAGCAGGCUCUUCACUUUCCUUUACAUAUUCUGCCAAGGCAUGUUCUUCUUCUUUGACUGCUUGUUUUACUUGUAAGAGUCCUCUGCCACCAGAUCUUUUAGGCAGAUAUAGCUGAUUAACAUCACUGCAAGGAUGAAGUGUAUGAUGAAUGGUCAUGAGUUUUCUUGUUUUUCUGUCCAAAUUGUCCAGUUAUUAUAUAAAAUGGCAAAAUCAAAGUCUGAUUUUUGAAUCUUUUCAGGGGAGGGUGCAGAACCCAUAGAUAAGUCAGGCUGACUGUACACUGAUAGCCUGCGGGGGAUAUUCCUAUAGGGAAAUGAUGGACCACCAUGUGAACAGAAUGUUGGACUAGAUAUGCAUCUCGUCUGAACCAGCAUGAUUCUUCCUAUAUUCCUAUGUUUUUACAUUACAGGUAGAAGUCAGAGAAAUUUGUCAACAGUAUAGGAACCAUUAAGGAAACCUCUUAAACUAGAGUGAAGGCCCCUUUACACAGCCAUAUAACCCAGAAUAUCAAGGCAGAUAAUCUACAAUAUCUGCUUUGAACUGGGUUAUCUGAGUCCACAUUGCCAUAUAAUCCAGUUCAAUGUGGAUUUUAUACAGAUGUGUGCAAGGGGCCUGAAUGUAGUGAAGGGAAGGGAAGUGAGACAACACCAUAAUUAAAUAAAAACCAGAAAGAGCAAAAAAGCAAGAAGUGCAUGUCGAUGCUUUUAGAAAUGAACCUACAAUGAACCAAGUAGAGCUGACUCAGCCUCAAGUGUAUAGAUCCACAGAACUUUCUUACCCAGCCAAGUGAAGUUUCCCAACUCACCUGCUUCUGUG
rnacentral:lncRNA from 1 species